rnacentral:rRNA from 1 species
GGUUAAGCGACUAAGCGUACACGGUGGAUGCCCUGGCAGUCAGAGGCGAUGAAGGACGUGCUAAUCUGCGAUAAGCGUCGGUAAGGUGAUAUGAACCGUUAUAACCGGCGAUUUCCGAAUGGGGAAACCCAGUGUGAUUCGUCACACUAUCAUUAACUGAAUCCAUAGGUUAAUGAGGCGAACCGGGGGAACUGAAACAUCUAAGUACCCCGAGGAAAAGAAAUCAACCGAGAUUCCCCCAGUAGCGGCGAGCGAACGGGGAGCAGCCCAGAGCCUGAAUCAGUGUGUGUGUUAGUGGAAGCGUCUGGAAAGGCGCGCGAUACAGGGUGACAGCCCCGUACACAAAAAUGCACAUACUGUGAGCUCGAUGAGUAGGGCGGGACACGUGGUAUCCUGUCUGAAUAUGGGGGGACCAUCCUCCAAGGCUAAAUACUCCUGACUGACCGAUAGUGAACCAGUACCGUGAGGGAAAGGCGAAAAGAACCCCGGCGAGGGGAGUGAAAAAGAACCUGAAACCGUGUACGUACAAGCAGUGGGAGCACAGAGCAAUCUGUGUGACUGCGUACCUUUUGUAUAAUGGGUCAGCGACUUAUAUUCUGUAGCAAGGUUAACCGAAUAGGGGAGCCGAAGGGAAACCGAGUCUUAACUGGGCGUUAAGUUGCAGGGUAUAGACCCGAAACCCGGUGAUCUAGCCAUGGGCAGGUUGAAGGUUGGGUAACACUAACUGGAGGACCGAACCGACUAAUGUUGAAAAAUUAGCGGAUGACUUGUGGCUGGGGGUGAAAGGCCAAUCAAACCGGGAGAUAGCUGGUUCUCCCCGAAAGCUAUUUAGGUAGCGCCUCGUGAAUUCAUCUCCGGGGGUAGAGCACUGUUUCGGCAAGGGGGUCAUCCCGACUUACCAACCCGAUGCAAACUGCGAAUACCGGAGAAUGUUAUCACGGGAGACACACGGCGGGUGCUAACGUCCGUCGUGAAGAGGGAAACAACCCAGACCGCCAGCUAAGGUCCCAAAGUCAUGGUUAAGUGGGAAACGAUGUGGGAAGGCCCAGACAGCCAGGAUGUUGGCUUAGAAGCAGCCAUCAUUUAAAGAAAGCGUAAUAGCUCACUGGUCGAGUCGGCCUGCGCGGAAGAUGUAACGGGGCUAAACCAUGCACCGAAGCUGCGGCAGCGACGCUUAUGCGUUGUUGGGUAGGGGAGCGUUCUGUAAGCCUGCGAAGGUGUGCUGUGAGGCAUGCUGGAGGUAUCAGAAGUGCGAAUGCUGACAUAAGUAACGAUAAAGCGGGUGAAAAGCCCGCUCGCCGGAAGACCAAGGGUUCCUGUCCAACGUUAAUCGGGGCAGGGUGAGUCGACCCCUAAGGCGAGGCCGAAAGGCGUAGUCGAUGGGAAACAGGUUAAUAUUCCUGUACUUGGUGUUACUGCGAAGGGGGGACGGAGAAGGCUAUGUUGGCCGGGCGACGGUUGUCCCGGUUUAAGCGUGUAGGCUGGUUUUCCAGGCAAAUCCGGAAAAUCAAGGCUGAGGCGUGAUGACGAGGCACUACGGUGCUGAAGCAACAAAUGCCCUGCUUCCAGGAAAAGCCUCUAAGCAUCAGGUAACAUCAAAUCGUACCCCAAACCGACACAGGUGGUCAGGUAGAGAAUACCAAGGCGCUUGAGAGAACUCGGGUGAAGGAACUAGGCAAAAUGGUGCCGUAACUUCGGGAGAAGGCACGCUGAUAUGUAGGUGAAGUCCCUCGCGGAUGGAGCUGAAAUCAGUCGAAGAUACCAGCUGGCUGCAACUGUUUAUUAAAAACACAGCACUGUGCAAACACGAAAGUGGACGUAUACGGUGUGACGCCUGCCCGGUGCCGGAAGGUUAAUUGAUGGGGUCAGCGCAAGCGAAGCUCUUGAUCGAAGCCCCGGUAAACGGCGGCCGUAACUAUAACGGUCCUAAGGUAGCGAAAUUCCUUGUCGGGUAAGUUCCGACCUGCACGAAUGGCGUAAUGAUGGCCAGGCUGUCUCCACCCGAGACUCAGUGAAAUUGAACUCGCUGUGAAGAUGCAGUGUACCCGCGGCAAGACGGAAAGACCCCGUGAACCUUUACUAUAGCUUGACACUGAACAUUGAGCCUUGAUGUGUAGGAUAGGUGGGAGGCUUAGAAGUGUGGACGCCAGUCUGCAUGGAGCCGACCUUGAAAUACCACCCUUUAAUGUUUGAUGUUCUAACGUUGACCCGUAAUCCGGGUUGCGGACAGUGUCUGGUGGGUAGUUUGACUGGGGCGGUCUCCUCCUAAAGAGUAACGGAGGAGCACGAAGGUUGGCUAAUCCUGGUCGGACAUCAGGAGGUUAGUGCAAUGGCAUAAGCCAGCUUGACUGCGAGCGUGACGGCGCGAGCAGGUGCGAAAGCAGGUCAUAGUGAUCCGGUGGUUCUGAAUGGAAGGGCCAUCGCUCAACGGAUAAAAGGUACUCCGGGGAUAACAGGCUGAUACCGCCCAAGAGUUCAUAUCGACGGCGGUGUUUGGCACCUCGAUGUCGGCUCAUCACAUCCUGGGGCUGAAGUAGGUCCCAAGGGUAUGGCUGUUCGCCAUUUAAAGUGGUACGCGAGCUGGGUUUAGAACGUCGUGAGACAGUUCGGUCCCUAUCUGCCGUGGGCGCUGGAGAACUGAGGGGGGCUGCUCCUAGUACGAGAGGACCGGAGUGGACGCAUCACUGGUGUUCGGGUUGUCAUGCCAAUGGCACUGCCCGGUAGCUAAAUGCGGAAGAGAUAAGUGCUGAAAGCAUCUAAGCACGAAACUUGCCCCGAGAUGAGUUCUCCCUGACUCCUUGAGAGUCCUGAAGGAACGUUGAAGACGACGACGUUGAUAGGCCGGGUGUGUAAGCGCAGCGAUGCGUUGAGCUAACCGGUACUAAUGAACCGUGAGGCUUAACCUU